UACAGAGGUGGCAAGCGUUGUUCGGAAUUACUGGGCGUAAAGGGCGCGUAGGCGGUUCGAUAAGUCCCGUGUGAAAGCCCCCGGCUCAACUGGGGAACUGCACGGGAAACUGACGGACUUGAGUUCGGGAGAGGGAAGCGGAAUUCCGGGUGUAGCGGUGAAAUGCGUAGAUAUCCGGAGGAACACCGGUGGCGAAGGCGGCUUCCUGGACCAGCACUGACACUGAGGCACGAAAGCGUGGGGAGCAAACAGG
rnacentral:rRNA from 1 species